ACCCGCUGAACUUAAGCAUAUCAAUAAGCGGAGGAAAAGAAACCAACAGGGAUUGCCCUAGUAACGGCGAGUGAAGCGGCAACAGCUCAAAUUUGAAAUCUGGCGUCUUUGGCGUCCGAGUUGUAAUUUGCAGAGGGCGCUUUGGCAUUGGCAGCGGUCCAAGUUCCUUGGAACAGGACGUCACAGAGGGUGAGAAUCCCGUACGUGGUCGCUAGCCUUUACCGUGUAAAGCCCCUUCGACGAGUCGAGUUGUUUGGGAAUGCAGCUCUAAAUGGGAGGUAAAUUUCUUCUAAAGCUAAAUACUGGCCAGAGACCGAUAGCGCACAAGUAGAGUGAUCGAAAGGUGAAAAGCACUUUGGAAAGAGAGUUAAAAAGCACGUGAAAUUGUUGAAAGGGAAGCGCUUGCAGCCAGACUUGCCUGUAGUUGCUCAUCCGGGUUUUUACCCGGUGCACUCUUCUAUAGGCAGGCCAGCAUCAGUUUGGGCGGUUGGAUAAAGGUCUCUGUCAUGUACCUCUCUUCGGGGAGAACUUAUAGGGGAGACGACAUGCAACCAGCCCGGACUGAGGUCCGCGCAUCUGCUAGGAUGCUGGCGUAAUGGCUGU
rnacentral:rRNA from 1 species